UAGAGGGCGGCCAAUGUGUCAGACUUCUUUCCUGCUGAAUUCCCAGAACCCAGCAAAGGGCCUGGCACAGGGUAAAUGGCCAAAAAAUGUUUGUUGAUUAACCCAGAAAGAUCAGCUUUUGCCCUCAGGGUUAGCAUCAAACACCUAGGUCGCUGCUACUUCAAGCACAGACCGUAGCUCGCUGCUGGUCACCUCAUCUCCGGUUUCCUUUGACUCAGAUUGAGAAAGGUCUGCUCUCUACCACAUCUCCUUGGAACUCAAGAUUCUGCGCAUUUGAGACUUUCAGGAUUUGGUUUAUUAACUGCGUGCACAUCCCCUGCUGCGGCAUUUGCUGAUGGGUCUCUUACUGGUGGUUAGUGCUAAUGCAGCCAUAGUUGUCUCUGGGCAACCGCGAUCUCAGCCACUACAAGUGACUCUGCCUCAAUGUGGAUCUUUAUCAGGCCCCAGGCCCCUGUGUGAGCACAUCUCUGAUGUCAAACCUCUUAGAAAACAAGCCCGUGCCCCUGCAAUGUUUGUUCCUUCCACUCUCUGGAGGAAGGCAAGGUCCUUUAAAACUCUGACCAAGGGAAAACGCUCACCAAAUGACUACCCUUGGGCAAACCCACAGGAAGAGAUGGCAGGAGAUACAGAGUUUUACAGCAUCCUCCCAUCAUCACUCAGGGGACGCUGGCUUUUCUUCAGCCUCAAAGACUGCUGAAACCCAUGGAACAUCCUGAAACAGGAAAUGAGGUCACACACCAGAGCACAUGGGUAACCGGUGAGAAAAUGCUGGCGCCAAGAAGGGGGCGGGUGUCAGAAGUGUGGAGGGAGAGGACCCUAACACACAGGAACCACCAGACGAACCACCUGCUGCUCUGGGACAGCCCAGAGAGGAAGGGGUGCACCUAGCUUUAAAAAAUAACCUGCUUUCUUUAAAGCAUAUGCAACAUAAAUGAUUUUACCAAGCCAA